UACGAAGGGGGCUAGCGUUGCUCGGAAUCACUGGGCGUAAAGCGCACGUAGGCGGAUUGUUAAGUCAGGGGUGAAAUCCUGGAGCUCAACUCCAGAACUGCCUUUGAUACUGGCGAUCUUGAGUCCGGGAGAGGUGAGUGGAACUGCGAGUGUAGAGGUGAAAUUCGUAGAUAUUCGCAAGAACACCAGUGGCGAAGGCGGCUCACUGGACCGGAACUGACGCUGAGGCGCGAAAGCGUGGGGAGCAAACAGG
rnacentral:rRNA from 1 species